ACGGGUGAGUAAUACAUAGGAAUCUACCCAAUGGCGGGGGACAGCUCGAGGAAACUCGAAUUAAUACCGCAUAAUCUCUACGGAGUAAAGAGGGCUUCGGCUCUCACCAUCGGAUGAGCCUAUGCAAGAUUAGCUUGUUGGUAAGGUAAUGGCUUACCAAGGCUACGAUCUUUAGCUGGUUUGAGAGGAUGACCAGCCACAUCGGGACUGAGACACGGCCCGGACUUCUACGGAAGGCAGCAGUAGGGAAUAUUGGACAAUGAGCGAAAGCUUGAUCCAGCUAUGCCGCGUGUGCGAUGACGGCCCUCGGGCUGUAAAGCACUUUAGGUAACGAGGAACAGUUACGUGUUAAUACCACUU
rnacentral:rRNA from 1 species